rnacentral:misc_RNA from 1 species
AAGUCGUAACAAGGUAACCGUAGGUGAACCUGCGGUUGGAUCAUUAAAGAAAUAAUGAGGCUGCAUUUCCUUGCCGCAAGGUGAGGUAUGUACGCCACUUACCCAACCUUUUGUGAACUGUGUUGUCUCUGGCGGCGGGGUGGAUUGGUCCAGUUCUGUACUCGACUGUCUGCCUGUCAGCUAGGGGCCCUCGGGCCCUUUGCCGUGGACAAACCGCCAACUGUGUCCAAACCUAUGCCUUUGAUUCUUGUCUCUGAUGCAUCUGUUGAAAUUAACAGAAACAACUUUUGGCAACGGAUCUCUUGGCUCUC